UUUUUUUUCGCGGGAGGGCGCUGGUGCGGGAGCCCGUCAAACCGGGGACGGGCUGGAGAAGGGGGGUGUAUGAGGGGCGGUCGGUGGCGGCGGAGGCAGACGUGCGGCGGCCUGGCGGUGCGGGUGAGAGGUCGGCGAGCCGGCGGGGCAGGUGCGCGGCGAGACAGGCCGGGGAGGAGCGGGGCAGGUGUUGCGCGGCGCGGGUCUGCUCUCGGCUCGGCAGUCCCGGCGGCCGCGCGGCGGGCCAGGCGGCAGCGGCGGUAGGGAGGAGGUGCGUGACGGCGGAGGCGGCUCCUUCUCCACGGGGCGCUUCCAUUUCAGGGAGGUCCCUGCCGCGUCAGCCGCUCGCGGCGCAUCCGCAGCCACUCCUGUACCCGCUCCCUCCACCGGGACAACACGCGCCGCCCCUCCGUCUACGGCUGGCGCACAGAGGAGAGGCUUCCCCACACGGACGUAGGCUACCAAAAGGUGGCCCUCUCGUUAAAGAUCUACGAUUUAACUUUACAUAACAGGUCACAGAACGCUACAGUAAGAAAGUAAUAAGUUCCAUACACAGAGUGUUCCUUUAUCUUUUAGGACUUAAAACGUACACACUAACCAAGUUGUUGGAGUUGGAGACGUGGAGUGACAGUUGGUGUACGUUCGAAGGAGGAACGAAAUCCACUCUCGUAAAUAAAGUAGCGGAAAAAUCGAACGAGUCUAACGUUCAAACUAUCCAAAGGGGUUGGGCCCAAUCCUUGGGGAAACUAAAACCAAGGAACGAUGUUGAGACAUACGUUAAAACAAAGAGACAGUGUCAAACUAGCUAGGUAAGAAUCGAUGUUUACGAAUAAAUAUUUGUCUACCUAUGUUCCAAGUAACAUCAGAACGUCAAACCUUAUGGUUUUUUUUAGUAAACAAACUCACCAUAUCGCAAAUCUACAGUAAAAGAAAAAACGACAAAAAAUAGCGGAAAAUAACAGCACGAUACUCAACUAUACUUAGUCGAUCGAUAACAGAUUAACAACUUUAUGGUGGGAAAGCUCGUCGGGAACUUGUGUCUUGUUCCUUUGCUCCUAUAAAGCCUCAGGGUCAAAGUGACGGAAGCACCUGCGACCUCGGUGACGGUGGAAAUGAUACACACACCAAUCCCAUAUCUAGUUUGAUGUUAAGUUGUUACCAGUAGAUGUGGUAGUCUAGAGGCUGAUAUUUUGAGGUACGAUUACAAGGUAUAAGGAGAAAAGACGAUUAAAAAUCUCAAAUAGGAAGAUACUUAAUGGAUUAAAGUCAGUGUUGACUGUUUAUAGUCAGAUAAACAAUUAUAGAGGUAGAGGUAGUUCCAAAUAUUUAACUGAAUUCUCAUACAUACACGGGGAUAGUAAAAAAACCAAGCAGUUGUCUACUUCAUUAGUUGGCAAGCUUACUCCCUAAUCCUCAUGUAGUAGAUUUUAUAAAGACAAGGGUCAAUUUACACAUGGCUAUUUAAAUUGAUAGUUUUAGUAACAUCACUCUUUUUUUAAACAAGAAUAAACGUCCGUAACACACCGCUAUUUGUGUACUGGUCGUUCCCCGGGACGGGGGGAGGGUUAUGAUACCUAAACAAGUAUUAUUUGUGUACUUGUCACGUCGUAAACUGAACAAAAGACGAGGUUGGCCGGGAGGGGUUGUAGGAUUAGGGUGAUUAGGGUGGAGGCGGUGACGUCCGUACGGCCGGAAAAGAAUUAACGAUAUGAAAACUCCUGCGUAGUGAUUUUUUUGAUUUUCUCCAAAGUACCGUUACUACCUCACGAUGGUUUAAUACAAGGUUCUUUUUACUAAAGACGGAGUUGAACUGAUGUACGUACAACUUAACAACUGGGCUAAACUGCCUGAUAUAUUCACGAGAAAAGGAACCCUUAAACUUUCGUGCGGGGAAGAUUCGUAGCGUGUUAUAUAUCCGAAUAUAUACACCAUGGUCAGUAACCAUGUUCGUACACACGUAAUGUGGUCUUUUCCCCAUUCAACGGAAACUAUGACUAGACCAUGGGGGUAUAUUCGCAUACUAAUUUUAUCCAAAGAUAACUAAGUAGUUGUCUCUUAAAUACAGUUAACUAAAUUACAGCUAUACUCGAAAUACGUUCAAACAAAAG
rnacentral:rRNA from 1 species